UCCCCACCUUCUCCCGCGAACCCUCACUCACAAAGAGCCGAGGGGAGAGAGGGUGCACAGCCGGCCGGCGGGGCCGCACCGGGGACACGCUGGGGACAGGAGGAGGCUAAGAGAGGGGAAGAGAAUUGGAGAGAGACGGCCGCGGAGGACACGGGGACGGGAAAGUCUCAGAGACGGGGAGAGCCUGACCCGGCGGGACACAGGCAAAAAGAAACACGCGAGCCAGACAGACGCAGAAGAAGCGCGCCUGGUACUUGAUAGGAACUUCAUGGAAUGGAGUGGAUGGGCCCUAGAGCAGGUUUGAGUGGUGCCACCCUGGAGGGGAAGGUGGAAGGUAGGGACAAGGUAGGGGAUGUCUUCCUAGAAGCUCUGAACCUAUUGCCAUUCCUACAUUCUCCAACGUCCUUUAGCAGUGAGCACUUCCUGAAACUUUCUCCCUCCUUCACCCUCCCCGCUGGAUUUUCCAUGAUGAAAAGGGGCGGGGGAAAGGACGUUGGGAUUCUGAGAACCUAGUGCCCAGGGCUCAAUGCCCAGUGCCUGCUCAAAGCGGCCAGUACCACUGGCUCUAAGGCCUCCUUUCCCUUCUUGUCUCAUCUCAGCGGGGUCCUUUCCGUGCUCAUCUUGUUUUUGGCAAAGGCUGGGAAGACUGGUUCUCAUUUCCAGUGGGUGGGGCACCUGACAGGGAAGAAGAGUCAGUGAAGCAGUGCAUGAUGAGUGUGUGUCCCCCGACACCCAGAGACUGGCAUUAGGAGGGGGUGGAUAUGGUUGGGACUGGGUAGCAUUGAUCUUACUGAUCUUGCUUGAGUUGGUGUCCAGUAGGCAGGUUCAGAGGUUAGGGCAGUGGGAGUCACGGGAUUGGCGACAGGAGAGGUGGGGGUGGGGGAAUACCGAGGAGAGUAGCCGGGAUUGGAGGCUCCCGGUGAAAGGGCAGGGCUGGAGGUUGUCCUGUGUAUUUUGGCAAGAUACGUAGUUGACAUACGUGAGAUAACGAAAUGUGUUCAUGUCUUUGGAGCCUUCAACCAGCUCUUUUAACAUCUUGCUUUUCCCAGCAUUCCUUAGGGUCUUUGGCUGGGCCCUGGAAUGGGUGCCGUGGGGUACCUUUACCUAAGCUCUAAAGUUGCCAGUAGAGAGAUUGGGACUCAGAGGAACUUCAUGGGACCCCAGAGAGGUGAGGGGUAAGGGCUAGAACCUCACACCCAUGCUGGUUUUGCUGCCUUCCUGGCAGGCCCAUGGGAGGAACUUUUGAGGUUCCAAGGAACUGGAAAAGGGUCACAAGAUGGGUGGCCGAACUCCCAGCUCAGGCUGGAUUCAUACUUGCAGCAUGGGGAUAGUGGGGAAGGGGACUGCAGGAAGGAAGCUGACGAGAAAGGCUGAGAAUGAGGAGUGAUGCAGGAGGUAGCUCUGUGGGCGUGAAACAAAAAUGAGUGGUUCACAGAGCCAGCCAGGCAUCCUGAUUUCCAGCUCACAGUAGCAGGAGCUUCAGGGAGGAAGGAGAAGGGAUGGAGGAGGAAGCCAGGUUGUUAAUAAAGGUCAAACAAUUUCAGGAACACCCCUGACCUCCCGCCACACGUUUUCUUACCUUGGCUAUGCAGAGGGUGGUCCAUCUUGGCAUUGAAGGUGGAACCCCCUCUUCCAUGGUCUGGGGUGACCCCAUGCCUGCAACCAAGUGUGCUCAGAUCCUUGGGGUGCGGGGACUGUAUAGGGAGUGGAUUUGAAGGUGUGGGGCUGUCCUGGCUGGAGACCACUGGGUCAGGAGAACUCUAGUAGAGGGUUUGGGUGCUGGGAACCAGGAAGAGCGGGGGAAGGGGCAGAGCCAACUCCAGAGGCGGAUCUCCUGGCUGAGGACAGAGGCUUUAUUGUCCAAGCUGGAGGUUGCUGCAGCUGGGCGGGGAGCAGCUCAGCUCGGUCUCUUCCAAAUUUCUUUUGGGGGAGGGUAAGGGAAGGCAAGCCCCCCCUUCACUUGUGGCCCUUGGGGCUACCAUGGUUGCUGAGAAACGAGGCUUAUUUGACAAAUAAUGCUUCCCAGGA